CGUGUUCGUUAGGGGUGCUCUUCAUGGGCUGAGAAAUUACCCUUUGAACCUGAUUUGUUUAAUUGCAACGAAGGGAAACGAGUAUUGCUUAAU
rnacentral:ncRNA from 2 species